rnacentral:rRNA from 1 species
CCUACGGGUGGCAGCAGUGAGGAAUAUUGGUCAAUGGACGAGAGUCUGAACCAGCCAAGUAGCGUGAAGGAUGACUGCCCUAUGGGUUGUAAACUUCUUUUAUAAAGGAAUAAAACGAGGCACGUGUGCCUUUUUGCAUGUACUUUAUGAAUAAGGAUCGGCUAACUCCGUGCCAGCAGCCGCGGUAAUACGGAGGAUCCGAGCGUUAUCCGGAUUUAGUGGGUUGAAAGGGAGCGUAGAUGGGUUGUUAAGUCAGUUGUGAAAGUUUGCGGCUCAACCGUAAAAUUGCAAUUGAUACUGGCAGUCUUGAGUACAGUUGAGGUAGGCGGAAUGCGUGGUGUAGCGGUGAAAUGCUUAGAUAUCACGAAGAACUCCGAUUGCGAAGGCAGCUUACGAAACUGCCACUGACAUUGAUGCUCGAAAGUGUGGGUAUCAAACAGGAUUAGAUACCCGGGUAGUC